rnacentral:misc_RNA from 1 species
CCCAAAAAAAAAAAAGAAGCAGAAGGAGAAUAAGAAGCAACAAUUCAAAUAAAAUUUUUCCAAAACAUAUUCACCAUCUUCUUUUCUUUAAAUAUUUCCAGAAGAUUUUUUCCUUCUUCUUACACUGAAAAUUUUUGAGGGUAUAACUAUAAUCAAGCUGAGUCAGUCAAUAUAGUGCACUCAAAACUCAAUGUUCGAAACUGGACUUAAGGGCAAUUCAGUUUUAUUUUUCAUGUUUGAACACUUCUAAAUGAAAACCUUGAAAU